UGCCAGAUUUUUCGGAGAGAAUGAACAGAACAGGGCAAUUAUUGAAUGAUCCAUUCCAUCAUCCAAUCCCAGCUUCUGGCAGUCAGAGGUUUAGGGACACGAGGAGCAUGGAGUUGCGUCUGUGAUCAGCUUAGCUAAUAGCCAUUGAUGGACCUAUCCUCCAUGAAUUUAUCCGAUUCUCUUUUUAACCCA